GACGUAGGGCGCGAGCGUUGUCCGGAUUUAUUGGGCGUAAAGAGCUCGUAGGCGGCUUGUCGCGUCGUCCGUGAAAACCCACAGCUCAACUGUGGGCUUGCGGUCGAUACGGGCAGGCUCGAGUUCGGUAGGGGAGACUGGAAUUCCUGGUGUAGCGGUGAAAUGCGCAGAUAUCAGGAGGAACACCGAUGGCGAAGGCAGGUCUCUGGGCCACUACUGACGCUGAGAAGCGAAAGCAUGGGGAGCGAACAGG
rnacentral:rRNA from 1 species